ACACACUGAACAGCCUCACCCGCCGCAGCCUUGCUCUCAAGCUUUCCCCCAUGAGCAGAAAUAAGGGGACCAAUUUAUCACACCUGCUGGAUGCCGGAUGAGGUCACUGUGGCUUUGGGAUGUCACGCAAUGAGUAAGGCCUUGUGAGUCUUCACAGCAAGGGACUGGCCUGGAGGCUCCGAGCGGUCAGCUAGUUCCCGUCACUGGUCUCCCCGGGAAGCUGUGGAUGAGCAGUGACCCAGGCAGGGAAAGGCCUCGGAUGGAACUGCACUCAAGGACAUGUCUGCUUCAAAGCUUUUUUCCAAUUGGUUUUGCAUAGGGAACUCUGAGGCCAUCCCAGCUGCCCUUGUCUGCCCGUGAGAAUCCCCUUCUACAGUGCCUCAAGAGCAGGAUGGAAGGUCCAAGAGUAUGAAUUCAUUUCAUGACAUGUACCUUUUGCAACAUACCCUGUGCCCACUGGAGCAAGAAGGGGAGGCUGUCACCUCUUUGUUUUGUGUUAUGUCUUCCAUCGUCCAUAGUGCAGUGACCCUCAUGGCCUGGCCACCACAAGAAAAACAGGGAUCUUCUCUAAACUAUGGAAGAAAUCAUGAGGUGGGGCCCCCAGUCUUUUGGUAUGGGAGAUGCCAAACAAACAGGAAAUAAAGACACGAUUGCAGUGC